GACGAACGCUGGCGGCGUGCUUAACACAUGCCAGUCGAACGGAAAGGCCCCAGCUUGCUGGGGUACUCGAGUGGCGAACGGGUGAGUAACACGUGGGUGAUCUGCCCUGCACUCUGGGAUAAGCCUGGGAAACUGGGUCUAAUACCGGAUAGGACCGUGCUUUAGUGUGUGCGGUGGAAAGUUUUUCGGUGCAGGAUGAGCCCGCGGCCUAUCAGCUUGUUGGUGGGGUAAUGGCCUACCAAGGCGGCGACGGGUAGCCGGCCUGAGAGGGUGUACGGCCACAUUGGGACUGAGACACGGCCCAGACUCCUACGGGAGGCAGCAGUGGGGAAUAUUGCACAAUGGGCGCAAGCCUGAUGCAGCGACGCCGCGUGGGGGAUGACGGCCUUCGGGUUGUAAACCCCUUUCGGCAGGGACGAAGCUUUUGUGACGGUACCUGCAGAAGAAGCACCGGCUAACUACGUG
rnacentral:rRNA from 1 species